ACGGCUCUCCCAAACAGCCACGUAUCAGGAUCCUGGAGGAGGGAAAACCCUAUGAACAGGAGGAGAGCCAGGACAUGGAUCCCGCCCCACCAAAGAUUUCAGGAAGUAUCCUGUAUACCGGACAGCAUUGCACUCAAAUGAGGCCCUUGAGGACAACAUUGACAAGGCAACUAGAACUGCAAGCAGUUAUGAUGGGGUCUAAGCCUCCUGCAAGAGUCCCUCCCGACGACCUGCAGAGUCCGCGAAAGUCGAACCCAAUGUGUGACGGCAGUAAGGCGAACGUCAGGAAAUAUUGCAGCGUGUGACUUGACAGCCUUGGCUGAUAGUUGAAUCUUGUGGAGUCCAGAGAAAAUGAGGAAUCAGGAAUAAGAAGUGAGAGGGCUGGAUGUCCCCUUGCAUGCAUGUCGGGCGACUGUUCCAUGUCAUUGUGAAACACAUGAUGGCCACUGAAACCUCUGGUGACUAUCAGCCAGGAAGCAUGGGCCCUCUCCGUGGACUGUCCUACCACGUAAUAUUCAAUGUGAUUUUCACUUGUUUUUGUAGAUUUCAAAAGAAUCAUAUGUGAAACAAGCCCACUUGUUGAUCCAACGUUAGGCUACAACCUUGUAGAUGCACGCUUGCUGGAUUGCGUGUCUGGCUCACUGAUAAUGUUGUGCCUGUUGACAGCUCAGAUCGUGCGGCACAAAAUUGCAUUGCAUGUCAGAGUGACAAUUUCUUCCGUCGGCUGGUAAUUUGGCUGGUAACAUAAUGGCUCACACUGUAAUAAGGCCUGCAGAUAUAAUAAAUCAUCUGACAAAUGUAUUUCUUUUUUUAAAAGUUAGAUUACAUUUGCAUUCAAUUCAUGCACUGGAAUUCUGCUAUUUUAAAUGGCCAAUGCUCAUAUGCAUAUAAAGGAAACCUUAUCACAUAAUCACAAAAGUAAGAUGUUUACCAAGCUCUCUUCUUAAAUUGAGUUUCUUUUUCAUUCAUUUUAGUGCACAAAACAAACAACAUGCACAUUUAAUUUUUGUAAAAUAUUUGCUUAUUUGUUUAUAUAAUUGUAAGUUACAAUGUCUUCUAAAAACUCUUUGCAAUGUGUUAUGUGUGAUCAAACCUUUCAGUAUCUUUAAAAACAUAUAAUUGCACAUUGUCACUCUGCACCUUCUGCAGAUGAAAAGUGGUUUUAUUUUGAUAAAAGGCCACAAAACACCAUGGAACUGUAGCAGCUGCUCUUAUCCAAAAAAUGAGCUCCUCUUAUUCAGGCAAUGAGAUCUAAUAAAAAAUGAUUGAGCUGAUUUG